AGAGUUUGAUCAUGGCUCAGAGCGAACGUUAGCGGCGGGCCUAACACAUGCAAGUCGAGCGAGAAAGUGGCUUCGGCCACGAGUAAAGCGGCGGACGGGUGAGUAACACGUAGGUAAUCUUCCCUUGAGCGGGGGACAACGGUCCGAAAGGACCGCUAAUACCGCAUACGUUUCCAGGGACCCUGGUCCUUGGAAGGAAAGCUAGGCAGCAAUGUCUGGCACUCGAGGAGGAGCCUGCGUCGCAUCAGCUAGUUGGUGGGGUAACGGCCUACCAAGGCGAAGACGCGUAGCUGGUCUGAGAGGAUGAUCAGCCACACUGAAACUGAGACACGGUUCAGACUCCUACGGGAGGCAGCAGUGGGGAAUAUUGGACAAUGGGCGCAAGCCUGAUCCAGCCACGCCGCGUGAGUGAUGAAGGCCUUCGGGUCGUAAAGCUCUGUGGGGAGGGACGAACCGCUGCACGUUCAUAGCGUGCAGCAUGACGGUACCUCCUUAGCAAGCACCGGCUAACUUCGUGCCAGCCGCCGCGGUAAUAC
rnacentral:rRNA from 1 species